AUUGAACGCUGGCGGAAUGCUUACACAUGCAAGUCGAACGGCAGCACGGGGCAACCUGGUGGCGAGUGGCGAACGGGUGAGUAAUAUAUCGGAACGUGCCCAAUCGUGGGGGAUAACGUAGCGAAAGUUACGCUAAUACCGCAUACGAUCUACGGAUGAAAGCGGGGGAUCGCAAGACCUCGCGCGAAUGGAGCGGCCGAUAUCAGAUUAGGUAGUUGGUGGGGUAAAGGCUCACCAAGCCAACGAUCUGUAGCUGGUCUGAGAGGACGACCAGCCACACUGGAACUGAGACACGGUCCAGACUCCUACGGGAGGCAGCAGUGGGGAAUUUUGGACAAUGGGCGCAAGCCUGAUCCAGCCAUUCCGCGUGCAGGAUGAAGGCCUUCGGGUUGUAAACUGCUUUUGUACGGAACGAAACGGUCUGCCCUAAUACGGCAGGCUAAUGACGGUACCGUAAGAAUAAGCACCGGCUAACUACGUG
rnacentral:rRNA from 1 species